rnacentral:rRNA from 1 species
UACGGAGGGUGCAAGCGUUAAUCGGAAUUACUGGGCGUAAAGCGCACGCAGGUGGCUGAGUCAGUCGAUUGUGAAAGCCCUGGGCUUAACCUGGGAAUUGCAGUCGAUACUACUUAGCUCGAGUAUGGGAGAGGGCAGUGGAAUUCCCGGUGUAGCGGUGAAAUGCGUAGAUAUCGGGAGGAACAUCAGCGGCGAAGGCGGCUGCCUGGCCCAAUACUGACGCUGAGGUGCGAAAGCGUGGGGAGCAAACAGG